UACAGAGGUCUCAAGCGUUGUUCGGAUUCAUUGGGCGUAAAGGGUGCGUAGGCGGCGCGGUAAGUCGGGUGUGAAAUCUCGGAGCUUAACUCCGAAACUGCAUUCGAUACUGCGGUGCUUGAGGACUGGAGAGGAGACUGGAAUUCAUGGUGUAGCAGUGAAAUGCGUAGAGAUCAGGAGGAACACCGGUGGCGAAGGCGGCUACCUGGACAGAAACUGACGCUGGAGGCGCGAAAGCUAGGGGAGCAAACAGG
rnacentral:rRNA from 1 species